rnacentral:lncRNA from 1 species
AUACAUAGCAUAUAUAACCAAGCAAGUUAUGAUAAAGAUAUUAAAUCAAAUAUAAGUAAAAGGCUCAAAUUAAAUUACACAAAUUUAACCAUUCUAGAUGUAAGAGAUAUUUACAUUACUACUGCCGAGAAGAAAACUCACCAUCUCAAGGAUAUAAUAUGCCUUAUGAUGAUCAGAAUGAACAAGAUCUAACCAUGACAUAACAUGCGAUGUCUUCCCUCGAAGAUGAACAAGUUAACAGAGUUAUGGAGAUAGCUCUACAAAGUGCCGCUGCCGAGGGGUGACGGAGGUUGAAUUCGCCGGACUCUGGUCGUUGGACGCCUGGCUGCUUUUCGUAGUUAAGUGUAACUGAGAUAAGGGUGGGUUAGGAUCUAUGGCAACUAGGUAAGGAUUUCUAGGUUCUCAUUCUCUUUUGGCAAGGUUUCUGAUUUUUGAUUAAAAUCAGAAGGGGAAAACAAAGUUUGACUGUACUAUUUACUUAAUGAAAACAAGGUAAUUACUCAACCACUCAUCUUCAAAUUUUGGAGUUAAUUAUUCUAGGAAUAUGAUACCAAUAAUUGUUCAGGC